ACAAUACUACGCAAGAACAUUCGGAUUACGAUAACUUCUUUGACCCUACUAUCUUAUGUCUGUAAAAGCUGUUGUUUAUCGAAGGCCACAUCAUAAUCAUGCCUGAGCUGUAUAUUAUUUUCUUCUUUCUAUUAUGUGGUGGUAAGUACAAUUUUACUUAUUCUUUUAAGAAUUUUACAAUUUGAGUUAAAAAAAAGUUGAUGCGUGUCAGGGUAACCGUCUCGUUUAUGUACAUCUAACAUCUCCUUAUAAAUGUCUUAGAAUUAUAAACUGAUGAUUCCUUUUGAAGCAAAAGUAAAAUAACAAAAUAAAAAGCGAACUCAGACGAAAAUUCUAAAUGGAAAGUCCCUAAGCUCAAACACAUCUAUAUAUAUAUGUGUGUUUUAUCAUGUACCGGUGUCCAAACCUACCGUCCAAAAGUUUACCUAUAUACCUCUUUCAGUUUUAAUACAAAUAACGCAGUUAGGAAUCGAUUUCGUUGUGCACCUUUUUUUAAAAUAAGGUCCAUCAUAAAAACUUUCCAGAAUAUUUUAGAGUAUAUCAAAUCGCAUUUACAACAUCAAAAUUCCAACCUAAUGUGCAUAAUUUAUGAUUAUACUUUGCGAACUAAUUUCAAGUUUUCAUUGGAAGCGCAUGCUCUAACUCCUCGAUUGUAUGCAAGCAAAGUAAUCCAGAAAUGAAUAUACGUCUUUUUUGUAUCUUUUGAGGGUUUUUGAUAAAUUAUAUUGUAGUCUUGAAAAUUUAAUGGACCUUAUCUUAAAAGUACUGAUAUCUAUAUAUUUCAGGACAAGCUCUUAUAUUGACAUCUGAUUGUCCAAAAAAUUGGAAACAUCAUGGCAACUCUUGCUAUCUCCUGAGCACACAGAAAAGUACAUGGCAAAGUGCAGUGGUAUGUUAAAAUAAAGUUG
rnacentral:lncRNA from 1 species